CAACAGGGAUUGCCCUAGUAACGGCGAGUGAAGCGGCAACAGCUCAAAUUUGAAAUCUGGCCUUCGGGUCCGAGUUGUAAUUUGUAGAGGAUGCUUUUGGCGCGGUGCCUUCCGAGUUCCCUGGAACGGGACGCCUUAGAGGGUGAGAGCCCCGUACGGUUGGACACCAAGCCUCUGUAAAGCUCCUUCGACGAGUCGAGUAGUUUGGGAAUGCUGCUCUAAAUGGGAGGUAAAUUUCUUCUAAAGCUAAAUAUUGGCCAGAGACCGAUAGCGCACAAGUAGAGUGAUCGAAAGAUGAAAAGCACUUUGAAAAGAGGGUUAAAUAGCACGUGAAAUUGUUGAAAGGGAAGCGUUUGCGACCAGACUUUUCCCUAGCGGAUCAUCCGGUGUUCUCACCGGUGCACUUCGCUAGGUUAAGGCCAGCAUCGGUUUCUGUAGGGGGAUAAAAGCUUGGGGAAUGUAGCUCCCUCGGGAGUGUUAUAGCCUCUUGUAUAAUACCCUUACGGGGACCGAGGACCGCGCUUUUGCAAGGAUGCUGGCGUAAUGGUUGUCAACGACCCGUCUUGAAACACGGACCAAGGAGUCGAACAUUUGUGCGAGUGUUUGGGUGUUAAACCCUCACGCGUAAUGAAAGUGAACGGAGGUGAGAGCCCUUACGGGUGCAUCAUCGACCGAUCCUGAUGUCUUCGGAUGGAUUUGAGUAAGAGCAUAACUGUUCGGACCCGAAAGAUGGUGAACUAUGCGUGGAUAGGGUGAAGCCAGAGGAAACUCUGGUGGAGGCUCGCAGCGGUUCUGACGUGCAAAUCGAUCGUCAAAUCUGCGCAUGGGGGCGAAAGACU
rnacentral:rRNA from 1 species